rnacentral:rRNA from 1 species
UGUCUCAAAGAUUAAGCCAUGCAUGUCUAAGUCCAAGCUGUGUUCACACGGCGAGACCGCGGACGGCUCAUUAAAUCAGUCGUGGUCCAAAUGGGCCAGUGCAAAUCCUACUUGGAUAACUGUGGUAAUUCCAGAGCUAAUACAUGCAACUGAUAUCCCGAAGGCGGUGUUGGGGCUUGCUUGCCUUGCGCUGCGCUGCUCUGACGGAUGCUUUUAUUAGACCAAGCCGCUGAGGACUUGAGGGUUCGCGCUCUCUUGUUUGACUCGUGUGAUGGUGACUCUGGAUAACCAAAUUCUGACAAGCGCACGUACUUCUCUUCUGAGCGAGACGGCGCUGCCACUUUCGAGUGUCUGCCUUAUCAGCUAUCAACCGUUCGUUAUGCGCGACCGAUGGCUUUGACGGGUAACGGGGAAUCAGGGUUCGAUUCCGGAGAGGCAGCCUGAGAGACGGCUACCACGUCCAAGGACGGCAGCAGGCACGCAAAUUACCCAAUCCCAGCAAAUGGGGGAGGUAGUGACGAAAUCUAACGAUGCGGGCGCCCUUUCUGGGGCCCCGCAAUCGGAAUGGGCACUUUCUAAACAACCUGUUGAGAACCUACUGAAG